ensembl:lncRNA novel transcript
AAGCUUUCAGGCCCUGGAGAGAAUCUUACAAUAUCAGAAGUGGGAUUCACAUAGCGCUUCCCGUGACCCUCCAGGAAUAUCAAGUGACCCAGCAAGGGCUGUGACCGUCUACGACAAGCUGGCAUCUUUCUUUAAAGAGGCACCUCUGGACCUGCAGCACCGGCUCCUCAUGAAGCUCAGAACCUGAGGACCCAGCCAUGGAGCGGUCAGCCUUCAUGGAGCAGGAUGCUGGGAGCGGGCUGGUGAUGCGUCUCCAUGAGCGGCCAGCCCUGCUGGUCAGCAGCACACCUGGACAGAGUUUGAACAACUGACUCUUCACGGACGCAACCUUCCUUCUCUUGUCUGUGUGAUAACAGGCAAAGGGCCUCUGAGGGAGUAUUACAGCCGCCUCAUCCACCAGAAGCAUUUCCAGCACAUCCAGGUCUGCACCCACUGGCUGGAGGGCCGAGGACUACCCCCGCUUCUAGGUGUCUGCUGAUUGGUCUGCUGGCUUGCAGGGGUGGGCCUUUGUCCCUGGCCAGCGCUGGACCUGUGGAUUUCAGGACUGUGACCCAGGACCACAGGCAGAGCUCUGUUCGACCAGAGAGGGGACUGAGUGUGCUGGCAGGGCUGAGGGGUUUUUGGUGGCCCAGCCAAACACCACCUUCUCUCAAGGGCCCUGUCCUCGUCCCAGAACUGGUUGUUUUCCUCCUGUGGUCUCUGAAGGACACAGGGCAUGGCUCUGGGACAGAGCCAUGUGGUGAUGACUGUAAUGGGAGUAUGCCUGACUCCAACAAGAGGGCUGUGGCUUGAAGGUCACCUUAAGAGGCACCCCGUCCUUUGAUUUCACCCUGGAGGCCCAGAGUAACUCUUCUGGAAGCCCCAUCAUGUCCAUGCCUGACAGCGCCCAUUGUUCCCUUUUCCCAGAGCCAAGAGCUGGGUAGAGCUGCAAGGACAGUGCCUGCACAGGGUGCUCAGGGCUGGGCAUUACCUGCUGCAAUGACAACAUCUAGCUGGAAGGCAGAGCGCUGAUGGACCGUCACUACGUCCCAGUCCAGCGCUGGGCCAUUGUCACCCUAGGGCUGUCUAAGUUGGCAGUGAUGUCUGCCUCUAAUGAGAGGCCAUUGAGAAGGACAUUUCCUUGGAGCUGCUCGAGGACUCGGCUGUGACAGUCGCUGAAGAUGUAUGCCCGGGGGCGGCAUAUCUUGCAGAUGGCCAGGCCUGUGAGGCUGGCACCACUGCCAAGCUCUAAGACAGACCUGGCGAGAGGAAAGGGGACCGUGUCUGCGACUGCACCAGGGUAAGCCCGCCUCGGUGCCCUGCCCUGCGCCCCAAGGUCACCUGUGAGUGAAGGCUGCCGGGUUCUCGAUGGCCCAUUCUGCAAUGUAGAGGGCGGCAUCCCAUGUGACCAGACCCGUGGUGCUGUGGGAGAUGAUGGCCAUGCUUUCGGAGAGUGUGACCGAGCCUCCCGAGGGCUGCACCAAGAGAGGGCGAGAGAGUCAGUCCAGCAAUCAGAAGGCAAGUGGCUUAGAAGACAAAUAGCCAUCCACCACAUGGCCAAAUAAACCAUGACAGGACCAA